rnacentral:rRNA from 1 species
GGAUUGGCACAUCGGUCGUGCCUUACGGGGUAUGAACUGGUGUAGCCAAUUUCUCACCUUCUGGAGAACCGCGAUGUCCUUAAUUGGGUGCCGCGAGGAACCAGGACCUUUACUUUGAAAAAAUUAGAGUGUUUAAAGCAGGCAUUUUGCUUGAAUACAUUAGCAUGGAAUAAUAAAAUAGGACGGCAUGAUUCUAUUUUGUUGGUUUCUAGGAUCACCGUA